rnacentral:lncRNA from 1 species
UUCUAAUCAAGAUCAAGGUAAGCAUUCUUUUUGUGCCAUCCAUUAAUCCUCUUCGGAUCAUAUUCUUACUCCAACCAUGACUCUGCAGAUUCUAUAACAAUUCAAGAUUUCAAACUGAAUCAGUCCAAUCCUUGUUUAAUUUCAGUAAGUCAUCGAUUAUUCCCAUCAUAGGAUUACCAACAGUUGCUUAUAUACACAUAUAUACAUAUCUCAUCAUAUGAUUGCAAAACAUGAAUGUUUAAAUUACAGAUCUGAUUUUGAUAAGAAAAUGAACAGAAUUGAAAACCCUAAUCUUGCUUGUGUGCAUAACUGAAAUUGGGAAUUUGGGAGGUCAAUUCUUGUUUCUCUGCCUUCUUGUGCGUCGAGAGUGAGAGAAGCCGGCGGCUGCUCUCGGCCGGCAACGGGGAUGGCGCGGCGGUGAGCCGCUGGUUUUUUCUUUUUCUGCCAAACGAGAGGGAACAAGGGAGAAAUUAGGGCUUUUAGAAAAAAAAGAGGGGGAUGGGAAAGAGAAGAGAGAGGGAGAGAAAGUUUAGGGCUUUUAGUGUAAAAAAAAAGAAA